rnacentral:rRNA from 1 species
GGUGAAUGCUGGCGGCGUGGAUAAGUCAUGCAAGUCAAGGGGGCCCGCAAGGGCAACCGGCAAACGAGGUAGUAACACGUAGGUAGACCCCCCAGAGUCGGGCAUAGCCAGCCGAAAGGUUGGGUAAUUCCCGAUAGUCCCGAAAGGGUAAAGGUUUUCGCUCUGGGAGUUGCCUGCGUAGUAUCAGCUAGUUGGUAGGGUAAUGGCCUACCAAGGCUACGACGCUUAGGGGAGCUGAGAGGCUGACCCCCACGAUGGAACUGCGACACGGUCCAUACUCCUACGGGAGGCUGCAGACGAGAAUAUUCCGCAAUGGGCGAAAGCCUGACGGAGCGACG